GGCCAAAGCUACCACAGAUCCUUACACAAAGGCUGGUAGAGAAUUCGAGCGAGCGAGUCCUUUCUGCCUGCAACCGUCUGAUCUUCCCGCAGAAUUUCAGCUGUGUUGAUUGACACAACUCUUGCCUCUGAACCAGUUCGGAAGCCUCCUUGCUUUCUCGGGAAGAUUCUCUUGGGAAAUAUGCAUAGUAAACACAUGUUGUUUCAUGGAAAGAAGUAAGAAUUUUAAAAUAUC
rnacentral:lncRNA from 1 species